CACGCAUGACACACUGCAUAUCAAUAAGCGGAGGAAAAGAAACUAACAAGGAUUCCCUUAGUAACGGCGAGUGAAGCGGGAAGAGCUCAAAUUUGAAAUCUUCAAGGUUCUACCUUGACGAAUUGUAGUUUAUAGAAGUGUUUUCUGUUAGUAGAGUUGGCUAAAAGUUCUUUGGAAUAGGACAUCAUAGAGGGUGAGAAUCCCGUAUUUGGUCAUUCCUUUCUAGCUUUGUGAUACACUUUCAACGAGUCGGAUUGUUUGGGAAUGCAGUCCAAAAUGGGUGGUAAAUUUCAUCUAAAGCUAAAUAUUGGCGAGAGACCGAUAGCGAACAAGUACCGUGAGGGAAAGAUGAAAAGAACUUUGAAAAGAGAGUUAAACAGUACGUGAAAUUGUCAAAAGGGAAGCGUUUGACACCAGUGUUGUUUUUCCGAAAAUCAAUUACUAAAUGUUUUAGUUUCUGAGGAGUGAUGACUUCAUCGGCUUGCUUCUCUCUUUACUGAAACUUUCUUAAUGCACUUUUCGGUUAACAAGUCAACAUCAAUUUCUUUUGUUGUAAAAGGGUAUUAGGAAGGUGGCUUUCUUUUCGGAGAAAGUGUUUAUAGCCUUAUACCUCUACAAUCGGAGAGAUUGAGGUCUGCAGCGUAGAUCCUUCGGGGUUAGAUACAUUUGUGCUAAGUUAUAGCUUUUCAUAGACAACUUGUUGACUAUGUUUAGUCUUGUAGCUUACUCGCUUAUGCUAUUUUACCUACGCUUAGGAUGUUGACGCAUGAGAUAUACGC
rnacentral:rRNA from 1 species